UAACAAGGAUUCCCCUAGUAACUGCGAGUGAAGCGGGAAGAGCUCAAAUUUAAAAUCUGGCGGUCUUCUGGCCGUCCGAGUUGUAAUCUGGAGAAGUGUUUUCCGCGUCGGACCGUGUACAAGUCUCCUGGAACGGAGCGUCAUAGAGGGUGAGAAUCCCGUCCAUGACACGGACCACCGAUGCUUUGUGAUACGCUCUCGAAGAGUCGAGUUGUUUGGGAAUGCAGCUCAAAAUGGGUGGUAAAUUCCAUCUAAAGCUAAAUAUUGGCGAGAGACCGAUAGCGAACAAGUACCGUGAGGGAAAGAUGAAAAGCACUUUGGAAAGAGAGUUAAACAGUACGUGAAAUUGUUGAAAGGGAAACGCUUGAAGUCAGUCGCGUCUCACGGAACUCAGCCUUACUUCGGUCUGGUGUACUUUCUGUGUGGACGGGUCAACGUCAAUUUUGGUCGGCGGAGAAAGGUUGAGGGAAUGUGGCGUUGUUUCGGCGACGUGUUAUAGCCCUCUUCCGCAUACGUCGGCUGGGAUUGAGGACCGCAGCGCGCCUUUAAUGGCCGGGGGUUCGCCCUACGUACCGCGCUUAGGAUGUUGGCAUAAUGGCUUUAAGCGACCCGUCUUGAAACACGGACCAAGGAGUCUAACAUGCUUGCGAGUGUUCGGGUGGAAAACCCUUGCGCGUAAUGAAAGUGAAAGUUGGGAGCCUCCGCAAGGGGGUGCACCGACGCCCGGCCCUGAAGUUCUCUGACGGUGCUGCGGUAGAGCACGUAUGUUGGGACCCGAAAGAUGGUGAACUAUGCCUGAAUAGGGCGAAGCCAGAGGAAACUCUGGUGGAGGCUCGUAGCGAUUCUGACGUGCAAAUCGAUCGUCAAAUUUGGG
rnacentral:rRNA from 1 species